AACACAGCGCUCGGCAUUCAAUGGUCGGCCAUUGAAGACUUAGGUAUUCAUACAAGGCUAUCCUACCGUUGGCUGUAAGGGUCGCGGUUGAGCAAUGAUCCUGAGAAUGUGAAAGGCGUUGGAUUGCUCGACCGUAGCAGUGCUGAAGGUGCAACGUUCGUGAACCAUGGGGUGCUGUUUGUCAAAACGGAACGCUUACCCAGUUGGCGACUACGACCCUUCCAGCGCAGACUACACUGACGCUCCUGAUGGCUCUGGUUUGAAACUCUGCACAGUGGACUCUACAAUACGUGAUGCUCGCAGAACAGAGCGGCCCCGUGUUCAGGAGGGUCAGAUGUGGACGGAUCCUGACUUUCCUCUUCAUGUUGCGAUUACAGAUAAUGCCAGUAAACAUCUCCUCUGGAUGAGGCCACAGGAAUUUGUCUCUGAUCCAGUCUUGUUCUCAAAUGGAACCUUCAGACUAGACAUUCAGCAGAGGAACUUUGGAACCUGCUGGUUCCUCGCAAUGCUGUCAACUCUUGCAGACAAACCGGAUCUGUGUAAACAGGUGAUCAACGAGAGAUCCUACACCCCAAGGACGGACGGCAUCUGUCACUGUCGACUAUGGAGGUUCGGGGAGUGGGAAGAUGUGUAUAUUGACGAUCAUCUCCCCGUAUUUCCUGACGGCAGAACCAUGUACGGAGCAGCAUCCGCGACGGCAAGGAACGAGAUGUGGGUCCCUUUCAUGGAAAAGGCUCUGGCAAGGUUACACGGUUCGUACACCGUGGUGGAAGGCGGGUACACGAGUGAUGCCUAUCUGAUGCUGACAGGGGGUGUUGCUGAGAAGAUCGACUUCUACAAUACGCGAUCCCGGGCUGCAGCUUACAACAUAUUCAGCCGAAUCAGCAACGCCCUCAACACGGAGGCCCUGGUUACGUGUAGUGUAUCGUCACGAUACCACGGUAAAAUGGGUCUGAUGGGACCACACGCCUACUCGAUCAGUGGAACGUUCGUGGUGACAAGGCGUGACGGCGUCAAGGUGCCCCUUCUGAGGAUACGUAACCCCCACGGUAGACACGAGUGGACAGGGAGAUGGUGUGACGGGAGUGGCGAGUGGGACACUCUGGCGGAGGGGUCUCACAUCCACAGGAACAGGAACGAGGGAGAGUUCUGGAUUGAUGUCGGCGACUUCCUCAGAUAUUUCAAAAAUGUCACAAUCUGCUCUCUCACCCCCGACUUUGACAAAGAUGGGCGAUCGGACUCACUGAAUUACGUACUGAGGGUAUUCAGCGAGUGGCGGGGGAAAUCCGCUGUUGGUCCUGGCACCUGGCUGAGGCAGAAACUCCGGAACCCCAGGGUUGCCUUCACAGUCCCCAAGACAGGUGAAGACUUCACACCAGUCGUGGUACAGCUGAUUCAGAAGGCGGAGUUUCUCGACUAUGCUGCCAUACGGUGUGACAUGUUCAGAGUAGCCAGUGGCGACGAACAGUCCGGAACAAUAUACGUCGAUGACAUCCCAGAUGCGAAUCCCACCAGACUCUACGAGAGCAGUCUGCAGUGGUCAUCACGCUACAAGCUAAGUCCUGGACGCUACAUCGUCAUCCCGUCCACCUACUACAGCGGCGUCGAGAGAGAGUUCCUUAUUCGGGUGUACACCCCGUGUCCUUUGUACAACUGCGGGACGAUACCUGGGGAGGUGGCGGUCAAACCAGAAGACAUUUGUAUGUGUUGAGUAAGAACAGCAGGGGAGGUAACUGUUGAAGAAAAAGACAUGUGUUUAUGUGGAUUCAGUAUACCAAGGGAGAUAACUGUCAAAUUGGAAGACUUCGGUAGGUUGAGUAUGACAGGGGAGGUAACUGAUGAAGAAGAAGACAUGUGUUUAUGUGGAUGCAGCAUACCAAGCGUGAUAACUGUCAAAUUAGAAGACUUCUGUUGGUUGAGUAUAAGAGGGAAGGUAAUUGGUGAAGAAGAAGACAUGUGUUUAUCCAUUGUCAACAAUGGUCACCUGAAACACACGAAACAGUCUUGAACUUGGGGUCAGAUCAUGGAAGACUGAAGUCAAUACCAUAUGCAGAUUGUGGACAGCAAAAGCAUUGCAACAAAGUACAAUGUUUGAUUUUC
rnacentral:misc_RNA from 1 species